GCAGUGGCUGUGAGCAGAGCCCAGGUGCAGCAGGAGACGGCGGCAGAGACCAGCGAGGGCAUCGGCAUCAACAUCACCUGCUCACACCCCAACUUACGAUCCGAGGAGAGCAUCCACUGGUACCGUCAGCUCCAGGGCCGAGGACACACAUUCCUCGUCAGUGCCUUGAAGGGCCCCAAGGAGGUUCCGGACCUCGAGGGGCAGCUGUGGGUGUCGGCAGACCGCCGCUCCAGUGCCAUCUGGGUCGCGCGGCCCCGGCUCGGGGACGCGGCGGUGUAUUACUGCGCCGUGGGCGCACAGGAAUCGAAGCCGGGGCUGCGGCCGGGCACGAACCACUUAGGGCGGGGCGGGAGCGCAGUGCCGUCCGGGCCCGCAGGGGGCGCUGCCUGCAUGGCCGCCAAACUCCAUCCCUGA